rnacentral:lncRNA from 1 species
GAUGGUAUGGAGAUAGUUGGACUACUUCUGCUAUCGCUGGCUGCUGAUGAAAUAACCAAUAAAAGAUCGGCACAUGUCUUCAAAAGAAUGGAUAAACAUUGGCCUCAAACUUGAGUACCACUACGAGUGGUCCUCCUAAGGGUUGGAGGGAAUGCUCGAUAGAAGAUUUUAUCCGAUGCUCCCUGAAGGAUCAUGGUAGCCUUGAAGAUCUCUACAUGAUUGACGGGGUCCAUGGUC